AUUGAACGCUGGCGGAAUGCUUUACACAUGCAAGUCGAGCGGCAGGCGCGGGGGCAACCCUGGCGGCGAGCGGCGAACGGGUGAGUAAUGCAUCGGAACGUACCCAGUCGUGGGGGGAUAACGUGGCGAAAGUCACGCUAAUACCGCAUACGUCCUGAGGGAGAAAGCAGGGGAUCGCAAGACCUUGCGCGAUUGGAGCGGCCGAUGUCUGAUUGGCUAGUUGGUGGGGUAAAGGCCUACCAAGGCGACGAUCAGUAGCUGGUCUGAGAGGACGAUCAGCCACACUGGGACUGAGACACGGCCCAGACGUCCUACGGGAGGCAGCAGUGGGGAAUUUUGGACAAUGGGCGAAAGCCUGAUCCAGCCAUUCCGCGUGAGUG
rnacentral:rRNA from 1 species